CGUCGCAGAUUGUGGGUUGCCC
rnacentral:siRNA from 1 species